GACGAACGCUGGCGGCGUGCCUAAUACAUGCAAGUUGAGCGCUGAAGACUGGUACUUGUACCGGUUGGAUGAGCAGCGAACGGGUGAGUAACGCGUGGGUAACCUGCCCUAUAGAGGGGGAUAACUAGAGGAAACUUUAGCUAAUACCGCAUAAAAUCUAAUAACACAUGUUAUAAGAUUGAAAGUGCCAAAUGGUACACUAUAGGAUGGACCCGCGUUGUAUUAGCUAGUUGGUGAGGUAAUAGCUCACCAAGGCGAUGAUACAUAGCCGACCUGAGAGGGUGAUCGGCCACACUGGGACUGAGACACGGCCCAGACUCCUACGGGAGGCAGCAGUAGGGAAUCUUCGGCAAUGGACGAAAGUCUGACCGAGCAACGCCGCGUGAGUGAAGAAGGUUUUCGGAUCGUAAAACUCUGUUGUAAGAGAAGAACACCAGUAAGAGUGGAAAGCUUACUGGCUGACGGUAUCUUACCAGAAAGCCACGGCUAACUACGUGCCAGCAGCAGCCGCGGUAA
rnacentral:rRNA from 1 species